AGGCGCGGCUCAGCCCCGGGCCGGCUGGGGCUGUGCCGGGGCGGCGGGUGAACGUCCUCGGGCCGUGGGCGCGCCCUGCCCGGCUGCCUGCGCUCUCCGUCCGCAGGGCUGUGGGCGCAGCUGAGGCUGCUGGAGGACGGCGGAGGGCUGCGAGCGCCCGGGGAGACCGUGCGCCUCUCCUGCCGCGGAUUCGGCUUCAAAUUCGGGAAUUCCACAGUUUGGUGGUACCGUCAGGCAGCCGGCGGCAGUCUCGACUCCACCUCUCGCCUUCACUGUUGUCAUAGACCAAAGGUGCGACUAGGAGCGACUAGGACUGACCGUAGUGACAGAGGCACAGACAGGGCAAACGUGGGCAGAGCUGUUCUGCAGGCAGAGAGAAGCUGGAGAGAGGUGAGACAGAGUGGGCCUGGCCAUGUGGACUGCCAUGUGCCUGGGGUUAUUCUUUAUCCUAGCAGUCACUUGCCAGGUGGCCUUGGAGCAACAUGUCAAGAAACUGGCCGUGUGAGAGGGUGAUGGAGUCAACAGCAAACAGACAGCACCUUGGAGAAAGAGGCGCCAUGGUCUCUGGUGACCCAUGGGAACAGGAUAUCACUUUACUCCCCUUCCUCCAACAUACCAGCCAGCAACAGACACCCAUGGCAGAGGAGAAAACCAGUGACCCAGAUUCACGGGGAGAAAUGGCACCAGCAGCACAUACUAAAAGCUACCAAAGGAAGUGCUGAGUGCUGGCAGUGGGUGACUCUGCUCAGAGGCACUGAAGCAUCUGUCUGCUGGCCUGAUAUACAGCCUGAUAUACUAGCCCAGCACCGGCAGUCGGGGUGCUAAGAGGAGCUGUGUUUCAGUACCAACCACUUCUGAGGCAGCUCGAACUCCUUCAUAUGCUGCCAAUAUCCCUUUUUCAGUUGGAGUAUGGUGGGCCUCGGAUCCUCGAUAUCCCCGACUCCAAAACCCCAG